UCUCCAGCACAGACGUCGUCAGCGGCGUCGAGUCACAGAGGAGCUGAACGGUCUUUGUGUGCUGCUUUCAGCUGACUUCCAGGAGAAGGCUUUUAUCAACCUCACAGACAUCAUCGAAACCAAGUUAUUAAGCCAGAGGAGCGAAGAGCGGGGGAAAAGGGACACCCACAGUCACAAAAUCGGCGGCGUUGACACCAACAAGUUUGGUUUGGCUGCUAGUACUGUAUGCAAAG